UUUCUUGAAUAUUUGAUAGAUAUGAUGCAUUGAUGUGCGGUGAAGAUUUAAUAUUCGCGUUCCAAAAGAUUGUCUCUCUCGUGGCGUUGUCUAUGACGGCGCACAAUUCUCUAAGGAGUUCUGAGCGCAAAACUGACCUAUUUUACGAGAUUCUAUUAUAUUCUGCCUUUAAAUCCUCUAUUAUUUUUUGAUCUAUCGUUAUUUUAUUUGCUAGUGAUUUUAUGGUUUCUUUCGAUUUUAGUGAUUUUAUUCGGUUUUGAUUUGAAAUUAGGUAGGAAAAAGACGAGGUGAUGAUGAAAUUCAUUGGUUUGUCAAUCCACUGACACGUGUGUGAUGUUAAUAAUGAAUCCCGACAGGUUCUGAUCGUCUUUUUCUUUUCACACCCAAAAAAACCUACAAAUUAUCACACACUAAAUCACAUCUUUAUAUAUAUAUAUAUAUAUAUUAUAUAUAUGUAUGUACUUAAUAUGUAUGAGUAUGUUUAUGUUCUCAUUUUCUUGGUAAUGGGCAUGUGAUGAAUCAUGAAUCUCAUAACAAAUGGGUAAUUUGCGUCUGAACGUUUCAGUGAUGCUAAAUCACUAAGUUGCCAAUUACUUCAGGUAUGUUAUUUUUUCUCAUGUAUAUUAGUGACAUAUUUAGCUAUUUGAAAGAUUUAUGGACUAAGUAAAAUAUAUUAUUGUAAACAUUUUGUGAUAUUGGUUUAAUUAAUUGGGUUCUUCUGAAUUAACAAUGCUUGAUACCCAUGUGAGGUAUUUGUUUUGGACCUAGCAUGAAGUACUUUCAAGGGUUUUUGAAUUUUUUGCCUUUGGAACAUUUAAUUGUGCAAUAGUGGAGGUUGUAGGCAAUGACUUAAGUCUUAAACUUCUCUAUCUUGACAUUGGUUGCAAUAAGGUGGCUUAGUAUCAUUUAAAUCUUUACAUUUGCUACUUGUGAAGCUUGCUACUGAUGGGGAUGUGCAUAUUCUAAAUUUUAUCAUUAAUGCUCUCAGUUCCAGUUUCACUUCCUUGAAGAUAAGGUUUGCUUAAUUUUUUUUUCAGUCAUCUUCUUAUGUAUGGCAUUGUGGCUUAAGUUGUAACAAUGUUGUUUCUACGAUCUCAUUUAACCAAGUUUACUUUAUGUAACAACGUUGUGCUUUUCAGGUAGUUCUGAUUAGGAUUGAUUAGUGUUAAGUACUGGAUCUGACUCCAUUAUGUUGCCGGUGAGGAUCUCUAAUACUUGGGCUCGCUACUGAUGGGGAUGUGCAUAUUCUAAAUUUUAUCAUUAAUGCUCUCAGCUCCAGUUUCACUCUCUUGAAGAUAAGGCUUGCCUUUUUUCUUUUUCUUUUUUCCCAGUCAUCUUCUUAACAAUGUUGUUUCUAAGAUCUCAUUUAACCAAGUUUACUUUAUGUAACAAUGUUGUGUUUUUCAGGUAGUUCUCAUUAGGAUUGAUAGUGUUAAGUACUGGAUCUGAUUCUCUUAUUUUGCCGGAGGGGAUCUCUAAAAUUAUUUGUACUUGGGGUCGUUCUGAUUAGGAUUGAUAAGUGUUAAUUACUGGAUCUGACUCUCUUAUGUUGCCGGAGAGGAUCUCAAAAAUUAUUUGUACUUGGGAUCUGGCAAAGGACCAACCACAGCCCUAAGGUUUGGACUGUGAAAUGCAGCAAUGGAAAGGCGCUCUUUCUCCGAGUUCACAACGGCUCUGUGCUCAAUGCUACUGUAUUCUCCAUUGCUCAUUAUCUGCACUCAAAGAAGGUUUAACAGGUACCCACUUACAGUUUUUCUUGAUCUGAAGCCCUUGCACAUCAUUGACUUGAACCAGCAAGGUCAGUCCGGUUGCAUCCGAAUGUGGAGUGAGACCCAUGACAUUAUCUGCAAGCACACAAGGUGG